CCCACGCAGGGGAGGGCGCCCGCCCCGCUCCCGGCCCGGCUGCGAGGAGUAGGCGGCGGCGGCGCAGGAGGAUGUACUUGGUGGCGGGGGGCAGGGGGCUGGCCGGCUGCGGGCACCUCCUGGUCUGGCUGCUGGGGCCGCUGCUGCUGCUGGCGCGCUCCGGCACCCGAGCGCUGGUCUGCCUGCCCUGCGACGACUCCAAGUGCGAGGAGCCCAGGAACUGCCCGGGGAGCAUCGUGCAGGGCGUCUGCGGCUGCUGCUACAUGUGCGCCCGCCAGCGGAACGAGAGCUGCGGCGGCGCCUACGGGCUCCACGGAGCCUGCGACCGGGGGCUGCGCUGUGUCAUCCGCCCCCCGCUCAAUGGCGACUCCAUCACCGAAUACGAAGUGGGCGUCUGUGAAGAUGAGAACUGGGAUGAUGACCAACUGCUUGGUUUUGAACCAUGUAAAGAAAACCUUGUCUCCGGCUGCAAUAUUAUCAAUGGGAAGUGCGAAUGUGUCACCGUUCGGAACUGCAACAACCCCUUCGAGUUUCCGAGGAAGGAUCUGUGUCUUUCAGCGUUAAAGAGGAUUCAGGAAGAGAAGCCGGACUGCUCCAAGGCCCGCUGCGAAGUCCAGUUCUCCCCGCGCUGUCCUGAGGACUCCGUCCUGAUCGAGGGCUACGCUCCCCCCGGCAAGUGCUGCCCCCUGCCCAGCCGCUGCGUGUGCGACCCUGCGGGCUGUCUGCGCAAAGUCUGCCAGCCGGGAUACCUGAACAUCCUAGUGUCCAAGGCCUCGGGGAAGCCGGGAGAGUGCUGUGACCUCUAUGAGUGCAAACCAGUGUUCAGCGUGGACUGCAGCACUGUGGAGUGCCCCUCCGUUCAGCAGGCCGUGUGCCCCCUGGAUAGCUACGAAACUCAAGUCAGACUCACGGCGGACGGUUGCUGCACGCUGCCAACAAGAUGCGAGUGUCUCUCUGGCUUAUGUGGUUUCCCCGUGUGUGAGGUGGGAUCCGUUCCCCGCAUAGUCUCCCGUGGCGAUGGGACUCCUGGAAAGUGCUGUGAUGUCUUUGAAUGUGUUAAUGAAACAAAGCCAGCCUGCGUCUUCAACAACGUGGAGUACAACGACGGAGACAUGUUUCGCUUGGACAAGUGUCGGUUCUGCCGAUGCCAAGGCGGCGUUGCCAUCUGCUUCACUGCCCAGUGCGGGGAGCUGAACUGCGAGAGGUACUACGUGCCCGAAGGGGAGUGCUGCCCAGUGUGUGAAGAUCCGGUGUAUCCCUUCAAUAACCCCGCCGGCUGCUAUGCCAACGGCCAGAUCCUCGCCCACGGCGACCGGUGGCGGGAAGACGACUGCACGUUCUGCCAGUGCAUCAAUGGGGAGCCCCACUGCGUGGCCACGGUCUGCGGGCAGAGCUGCAUGAACCCCGUCAAGGUGCCCGGGGAGUGCUGCCCCGUGUGCGAAGAACCAACCUACAUCACAAUUGACCCACCAGCGUGCGGGGAGCUAUCCAACUGCACCCUGACAGAGAAGGACUGCGUUUACGGUUUCAAACUUGACCACAAUGGCUGUCGAACUUGUCAGUGCAAAAGCAGGCAGGAGCUGUGCCGGGGCCUCCUGCGCGGCUGCACCUUGGCCUGCCCCUUCGGCUUCCUGACGGACGCCCACAGCUGCGAGAUCUGCCGCUGCCGCCCCCGGCCCAAGAAGUGCAGGCCCACCUCCUGCGACAGGAGCUGCCCGUUUGGAUACCUGAAGAAUAAGCAUGGCUGUGACAUCUGCCGCUGCAGGAAGUGCCCAGAGCUCCCGUGCAAUGAAACCUGCCUCCUGGGAUUCCAGAACGACAGCCGCGGCUGUCUUACCUGCAGGUGCCGAGAGGGCCCCGCGUCACCCACCUCACCUGCCCUGUCCGGCACGUGCCUGUCCAUGGACGGCCAUCACCAUAAGAACGAGGAGAGCUGGCAUGACGGGUGCCGGGAAUGCUACUGUCACAACGGCCGGGAGAUGUGCGCGCUCAUCACCUGCCCGGUGCCCGCCUGCGGCAGCCCCACCAUCCGCCCGGGACAGUGCUGCCCCUCGUGCUCAGAUGACCUUGUGGAGCAGAAGCCCGAGCUCAGCGCCCCCUCCAUUUGCCACGCCCCUGGAGGAGAGUACUUUGUGGAAGGAGAAACGUGGAACAUAGACUCCUGUACUCAGUGCACCUGCCACAGCGGGCGGGUGAUGUGUGAGACGGAGGUGUGCCCGCCGCUGCUCUGCCAGAACCCCUCCCGCACCCAGGACUCCUGCUGCCCACAGUGUACAGACGCGCCUCUGCAGCCUUCGCCCUCCCGCAAUGACAGCGAGCCCAGCUACUGCAGGAACGAGGAGGGGGCCAUGUUCCUGGCCGCCGAGUCCUGGAAGCCCGACGUCUGUACCAGCUGCGUCUGCAUGAACAGCCUCAUCAGCUGCUUCUCCGAGUCCUGCCCGGCGGUGUCCUGCGAGAGGCCUGUUCUGAGAAAGGGCCAGUGUUGUCCCUACUGCAUAGAAGACAGCAUCGCGAAGAGGGUGGUGUGCCACUUCGGCGGGAAGGCCUACGCCGACGAGGAGCGCUGGGACAUAGACAGCUGCACGCACUGCUACUGCCUGCAGGGCCAGACCCUCUGCUCCACCGUCAGCUGCCCGCCGCUGCCCUGCGUGGAGCCCAUCAACGUGGAAGGAAGCUGCUGCCCAAUGUGCCCAGAAAUGUACGUCCCGGAACCAACCAACGUGCCCAUUGAGAAGAUAAAUCGUCGUGGUGAGACUGACGUGCAGGUUCCCAGGUGGCCCACUCCUAGUGAGAACGACAUUGUCCAUCUCCGCAGAGACGUGGGUCACCUCAAGGUCGAUUACGGUGAUAACAACAGGCGGCACCCGGCGGAAGAGUCUUCGCUGGACAGCAUAGCCGCGGUCGUGGUUCCCGUCGUGAUAGGCCUCUCCAUCAUCAUCGCCUUCCUGCUCAUCAACCAGAAGAAACAGUGGAUACCCCUGCUUUGCUGGUAUCGAACGCCAACGAAGCCUUCUUCCUUAAGCAACCAGCUGGUGUCUGUGGACUGCAAGAAGGGAGCCCGCGCCCCGGGGGACGGUGCCCAGAGAAUGCUCAGGAUCGCGGAGCCGGACGCCAGGUUCAGCGGCUUCUACAGCAUGCAGAAACACAGCCCUCUCCAGGCAGACAAGUUCUACCAGACGGUGUGAAGGGAGGCACGUCGGAUGAGGGUGUAGAAGCCAGAAGCGACUCCGUCUGCUCUUAAAAAAUAUCAAAAAAAGAAAAAGGUGUUCUAGCUGUUUGCAUCAAAGAAAGAAAAAGAUUUAUUAUCAAGGGGCAAUAUUUUUAUCUAUUUCCAAAAUAAAUUUGUUAAUGAUAUGAUGUUACCAAAAUAAGAUUUACAUCAGCCUGAUUAUUAUAAAAUUUUGUUGACAAUUAAUCCAUUCCUGGCAUAAAAAGUCUUUAUCAAAAAAAGUGUAAAUGCUUGCUUUUUCAAUCAUGGCCAUAUUAUGAAAAUACUAACAGGAUAUAGGACAAGGUGUAAAUUUUUUUAUUGUUAUUUUAAAGAUAUGAUUUAUCCUGAGUGCUGUAUCUAUUACUCUUUUACUUUGGUUCCUGUUGUGCUCUUGUAAAAGAAAAACAAAUAUAAUUUCCUGAAGAAUAAAAUAGAUCUAUGGCAGGCA